GGGGCCAUAGCUCAACUGGGAGAGCACCUGCUUUGCACGUAGGGGGUUAGCGGUUCGAUCCCGCUUGGCUCCACCA
rnacentral:tRNA from 2 species